rnacentral:piRNA from 1 species
GGACCUACACUGUUGCAGGAACUCCAAU